rnacentral:rRNA from 1 species
CAAGGGUUAGCGGCGAACGGGUGAGAAACACGUGGAUAAUCUGCCCAGGAGACCGGGAUAACUCGGCGAAAGCCGAGCUAAUACCGGAUGAGCCCACAGGUCGGAAUCGACCAGAGGGAAAAGGGGGAAAGACGCUCCUGGAUGAGUCCGCGGCCCAUCAGCUAGUUGGCGGGGUAAAAGCCCACCAAGGCAACGACGGGUAGCUGGUCUGAGAGGACGACCAGCCACACUGGAACUGAGACACGGUCCAGACUCCUACGGGAGGCAGCAGUGGGGAAUCUUGCGCAAUGGGCGAAAGCCUGAUCCAGCGACGCCGCGUGUGUGAAGAAGGCCUGCGGG